rnacentral:rRNA from 1 species
GAUGAACGCUGGCGGCGUGCUUAACACAUGCAAGUCGAACGGAAAGGCCCAAGCUUGCUUGGGUCCUCGAGUGGCGAACGGGUGAGUAACACGUGGGUGAUCUGCCCUGCACUUCGGGAUAAGCCUGGGAAACUGGGUCUAAUACCGGAUAGGACGAUGGUUUGGAUGCCAUUGUGGAAAGUUUUUUCGUUGUGGGAUGAGCUCGCGGCCUAUCAGCUUGUUGGUGGGGUAAUGGCCUACCAAGGCGUCGACGGGUAGCCGGCCUGAGAGGGGGUACGGCGACAUGGGGCAUGGGGUAUGGGCCAGGCUCCUGCGGGGGGCAGCAGGGGGGAAUAUUGCACAAUGGGCGCAAGCCUGAUGCAGCGACGCCGCGUGGGGGAUGACGGCCUUCGGGUUGUAAACUCCUUUCGCUAGGGACGAAGCGUUUUUGUGACGGUACCGGGAGAAGAAGCACCGGCUAACUACGUG